rnacentral:rRNA from 1 species
AGAGUUUGAUCCUGGCUCAGGAUGAACGCUGGCGGCGUGCCUAACACAUGCAAGUCGAACGGAGUUGCGAGAGCUUGCUUUGCAACUUAGUGGCGGACGGGUGAGUAAUGCGUGAGCAACCUGCCUUUCAGAGGGGGACAACAGUUGGAAACGACUGCUAAUACCGCAUAAUGUAGCGAGGGGGCAUCCCCAUGCUACCAAAGGAGCAAUCCGCUGAAAGAUGGGCUCACGUCUGAUUAGCUGGUUGGUGAGACAACAGCCCACCAAGGCGACGAUCGGUAGCCGACCUGAGAGGGUGAUCGGCCACAUUGGAACUGAGAUACGGUCCAGACUCCUACGGGAGGCAGCAGUGGGGAAUAUUGGGCAAUGGGCGAAAGCCCUGACCCAGCAACGCCGCGUGAGGGAAGAAGGGUUUCGGCUCGUAAACCUCUGUCCUAUGGGACGAAGGAAGUGACGGUACCAUAGGAGGAAGCCCCGGCUAACUACGUGCCAGCCGCAGC